rnacentral:rRNA from 1 species
ACAGUUUAGUCAUGGCUCAGAUUGAACGCUGGCGGCAUGCCUUACACAUGCAAGUCGAACGGCAGCAUGAUCUAGCUUGCUAGAUUGAUGGCGAGUGGCGAACGGGUGAGUAAUACAUCGGAACGUGCCCUGUAGUGGGGGAUAACUAGUCGAAAGAUUAGCUAAUACCGCAUACGACCUGAGGGUGAAAGUGGGGGACCGCAAGGCCUCAUGCUAUAGGAGCGGCCGAUGUCUGAUUAGCUAGUUGGUGAGGUAAAGGCUCACCAAGGCGACGAUCAGUAGCUGGUCUGAGAGGACGAUCAGCCACACUGGGACUGAGACACGGCCCAGACUCCUACGGGAGGCAGCAGUGGGGAAUUUUGGACAAUGGGGGCAACCCUGAUCCAGCA